rnacentral:SRP_RNA from 1 species
CGCCAGGAGCGGCGGAGCUGCCGGCAAGGUAACCCCGCCAGGUCCGAAAGGAAGCACCGGUAACUUGACCGCUGUUGUCGCUGCUCCUGGUGCGC